UACGGGGGGAGCAAGCGUUGUUCGGAUUUACUGGGCGUAAAGGGCGCGUAGGCGGCCAGCACAAGUCAGUUGUGAAAUCUCCGAGCUUAACUCGGAAAGGUCAACUGAUACUGUGCGGCUAGAGUGAUGUAGGGGAGACUGGAAUUCCUGGUGUAGCGGUGAAAUGCGCAGAUAUCAGGAGGAACACCGAUGGCGAAGGCAGGUCUCUGGGCAUUAACUGACGCUGAGGCGCGAAAGCGUGGGGAGCAAACAGG
rnacentral:rRNA from 1 species